AACGAACGCUGGCGGCAGGCUUAACACAUGCAAGUCGAGCGCCCCGCGAGGGGAGCGGCAGACGGGUGAGUAACGCGUGGGGAUGUGCCCAAAGGUGCGGAAUAACUCAGGGAAACUUGAGCUAAUACCGCAUGUGCCCUUCGGGGGAAAGAUUUAUCGCCUUUGGAUCAACCCGCGUCAGAUUAGCUAGUUGGUAGGGUAAUGGCCUACCAAGGCGACGAUCUGUAGCUGGUCUGAGAGGAUGACCAGCCACACUGGGACUGAGACACGGCCCAGACUCCUACGGGAGGCAGCAGUGGGGAAUAUUGGACAAUGGGCGCAAGCCUGAUCCAGCCAUGCCGCGUGAGUGAUGACGGCCUUAGGGUUGUAAAGCUCUUUUAACAGGGACGAUAAUGACGGUACCUGUAGAAUAAGCCCCGGCUAACUUCGUGCCAGCAGCCGCAGUAAAAC
rnacentral:rRNA from 1 species